GAAUUUUGGACAAUGGGCGAAAGCCUGAUCCAGCAAUGCCGCGUGCAGGAUGAAGGCCUUCGGGUUGUAAACUGCUUUUUUACGGAACGAAAAGCUUUGGGUUAAUACCCUGGAGUCAUGCAGGUACCGUAAGCAUAAGCACCGGCUAACUAAGCUCCCGACGCCGCGGUAAUACGUAGGGUGCCAGCGUUAAUCGGAAUUACUGGGCGUAAAGCGUGCGCAGGCGGUUUUGUAAGACAGAGGUGAAAUCCCCGGGCUCAACCUGGGAACUGCCUUUGUGACUGCAAGGCUAGAGUACGGCAGAGGGGGGUGGAAUUCCGCGUGUAGCAGUGAAAUGCGUAGAUAUGCGGAGGAACACCGAUGGCGAAGGCAACCCCCUGGGCCUGUACUGACGCUCAUGCACGAAAGCGUGGGGAGCAAAC
rnacentral:rRNA from 1 species